CACGUAGGGUGCGAGCGUUGUCCGGAAUUAUUGGGCGUAAAGAGCUCGUAGGCGGUGUGUCGCGUCGGCCGUGAAAACCUGCAGCUUAACUGUGGGCUUGCGGUCGAUACGGGCAUCACUGGAGUUCGGCAGGGGAGACUGGAAUUCCUGGUGUAGCGGUGAAAUGCGUAGAUAUGUGGAGGAAUACCGAUGGCGAAGGCAGCCCCCUGGGAUAACACUGACGCUCAUGCACGAAAGGCGUGGGGAGCAAACAGG
rnacentral:rRNA from 1 species